CGCUUCGCAUACCCAACUGCUUAUACACGCACCACUUCAAAAAAAACCUUAAACUUUCACCCCCCUUUUCUCUAUUCAAUUUCCCCCAUACUUCUAAUUUGUUAUUUUAUUUCUAUAAACUCAACUCAUCUGCCUUCUUUUUAUAUUUCUUCUUUCUCUAUGCUUACACAAAUUCCGUUUCCUUCGACGCCAAUGAAGACAUCCAAAGAACACCAUCAUUCGACCACUGUUUCAGGGGCUGAUUCAGUCUGUGUUUGAGCUGCCUGGUGGCUUCUUCUAUUGGAGGUGUUUAUAUUGGUUUUCCCCGACCUUGCACUGCAGUCAUUAGAACCAAUAUGUCCGAGAAUGUUGAUUCAGGAAUACAGAAGGACCCAAGUUUUAUGUAUGGCGAGCAUUUGGCAUCAAACACGUGCUAUUGAAAUUUUGGACUCAAAUAUGUUUGUGAUGAGGGUUUAUAGAAACAUCAAAUGCAACUAUCUUUUGAUGGAGAAGCUAAAAGCAUGACUCUGCUGGUCCAUUUGGUUGAUAUUGGAGGUGAGGCCAAGAAAAGUCUCAUGAACCAAUUAUCAUUGUGAGUGUCCAAUGGGUUUAAUUAUGGUAGCCACUUCUGCUCGGAUUUUGGGAAGCCCUGAAUUUCUUUUUUGUCUGUGAAGAAGAUCAUUUAUUGCCUUUGUACUUAUAUUAGAAUGAAAGAGAAUUUAAAUGAUUUAAGGCUAGCUUAAUAAGAGUUUCAAAUGUAAUGUGGUUACCCUCCAAUACUAGAGAAUGAGGUGCCUUGAGAUGAAGCUUCUGGUGGCACAUGCUUGAUUUGUGUUGUGUAAA